rnacentral:rRNA from 1 species
GCAUGGCCGUUCUUAGUUCGUGGAGUGAUCUGUCUGCUUAAUUGCGUUUCACUAAGGGCCCAUAAAUUCAAGGUAUGUUAGCUAUCGUUUCUCAAUUGACCCCUUGUCUUCGAUAAGCGCGUGUCUUUUAGAGUUUAAACAUUGCGCAUGCUGUUGGGUCCUGAAAGCAACGAACGUGACCGCAACGUCUUAUUGCCUUUAUCUUGCUAUAUUUUAAUUUAAUUAAAAAUAGCUAACAGAGGCUAAUUUAAAAUUAGACGGACCGCUGUACUUUUCUUAAACCAGAGGAAGGUUGCGGCAAUAACAGGUCUGUGAUGCCCUUAGAUGUUCCGGGCUGCACACGUGCUACAAUGAUCAGUACAGUGAGCAUCUCAAUAUUAUACACCGUAUUAAGCGCUUAGUUGCGAUUAUUGGCUCAUUAUUGGGUCUUUUAAUUGUAUUUCUAAUGCGCGCGGUAAAGCCUGCUUCGAGAGUAAGUGGGUAAUCCAUUGGAAGUAAUGAUUUCUCUUUUUAUAGCACACCUAUAUACGGCAUUCAUUCCCGGGACGACUAGUUUCGU